rfam:Ornithorhynchus anatinus chromosome 1, whole genome shotgun sequence.
AGCAGCGUGGCUCACUGGAAAGAGCACGGGCUUUGGAGUCAGAGGUCAUGGGUUCGAACCCCAGCCCUGCCA